AUUUACUAUAUACUAAUUCUCAACGCACUGUUCAUCGGCUUAUGAACAGUGCCGGCUCCAGCCGAGCCGAUAUUGUAAAAGACGAUUUUGCCCUCGACACCUGGCGUACUGCUCAGUCCUAUCGUGUCUUCGCUACUUCGCUCCACAGAGAGGUGGAGAGACAGCGAAGGUGGUACUGUUUGAAUUUCGGUGCAUGCAAUUCUGGGUGAAAACAGAAUACCGAGUUCACUGAUGGUGGUAUUUUGUUAUCUGUAGAGGACUGAAAUUGGAGAGGAGGAAGGGAGAAUUUAUCAAGGCCAAGAAAGGUGGUUGUUUGUGAAUUUUGCAGAAUGGAAUAGCAGAGAAGAAUUGGUGGGGAGAGUUUGGGUUGGGGAUAUAUAUUUUCACACAACAGCUGGCCUUUAAAAAAUUAGGUACUUCCAGUAAAAUAACACCAUUGCAGCUGGAAGGCUUGCUGACCGAAGGGAGCACAUCAAGACUUUGGUUGAUUCUGUGGGUUCUAUAGUUUGAGAUCUGGGUAACUCACUGCAAGAGUUUCAAGAUAUUCAUCAGGGAAUUGCAACUUUAAUCACUCUGUUGGAAGAAAAAACAACCAGGAGUUUACGAUUUUCAAGGCAAGUUUUGGAAUUGUGUUGAGGAAAGUAGGAGAGCUGCAGGUUAGAUAUUCUUUCCUAGAUUAUCUUUUCCCUGUUUUGAUUUCUGAAAUUGGUUCAAUUUGCAUAUGAGUUAGAACUUGCUUAGAGUAUUUAAGAAAUACUGCAAACAGAAGUGGCAAAUGGUUUAGAAUGUUUUCAUAUUGCAUGGAACACAGUAAGCAAAUGUACUCAUGAAUUGGAAUACAUUUACUAUAUUUUCAAUGAACAAUGAUAGAUGAGUGUUGUGACAGAGCUGUGAAGAAAAUAUAUAGAGGCAUUUUUUUUUGAACUAGGAUACUCUAUUCUGUAAUGUUGUUCUACAUGUACUCAAUGUGUGCAUUGCUUGGUCUAGGAUACUCUAUUCUGUAAUGUUGUUCAAACAUGUUUGCAUGUUGCUCUUUAUUCUUUUCUCUUCGAAAUAUAAUACAGUUAUUGGUAUCAUUCCAAAAAAUCAGUCUUGCAUUGGUUGGUCUUCUACACUGACUAAAAGAGAAUCAGCAGCUUUCAUUUAAUAAUACUAUUCCGGUAGCCGAGUGUUUUUAGAUACUACAGAACAAUGUGGGAAUCUCAUCCACUAGAAACUCAGUUUCUGGAUUAAGAACAAUUUUGCACAAACCAAGGUGAGUGUAGACCUUUAAUUAAGGUCAAUAUAGAAAAAUUUGUGUUCUGCACUCUCAUCUUCAAUCUAAAAAUCUUUCAGUUUCCCAAAUAUCAGUAUUAAUAAGCUAUUUCUGCAUAACAUUUGAUCACUAAAUACACUUCGUGAUCUCUCACUUCUUCAAUGACAGGGAAGGCAGCAUUGAAUCAGCAGGAUCAUCCAUGAAGUCCUUCAACAAGGAGAAAACAGACUGAAGUAUGAUGACACUUUUUGUGUAAAAAGAACUGGAGGAAGCAACUUUUUGGACAACCUCCAUAACAGUCCAUCACUAGGCUAACAACUUUUGGCAACUUUUUGGAACUUUUUGGACAACCUUCAUAACCGUCCAUCACUAGGCUAGCAACUUUCUAAUGCUAAUAGACAUCAUCACCUACUUUUGGCAAGCAGAUACGUUAGCCUGUAACUAAAACAACCUAUUUUUUGGAAGCUGUCCCAGCAACAACUGUAACUAUGUUAACUUUAAACUACAAAAGCAUAUUUUUUUGAACACUACCACAACAUCUACAUUAGUGGUAAUGCUAUUAGGACAUGAUCUACAUCUUUUGUUAUAAAAUUUACUUCUCAACUACAUUCUUGAUCCUAUUAAACUUUCAGAUUUUAUUCUAUAACCCGCGGCAACGCGCGGGCACGAAUUCUAGUUUACUAUAUACUAAUUGUCAAGUCACUGUUCAUCAGCUUAUGAACAGUAACAGCUCCAGCCGAGCCGGUGAUGGAUGAAAAGACGACAUUGUCCUUGCCUCAUCUUUCUUGCCCGACACCUGUAUAUGGUUUCAGAGCUUUCGUGUCUUUGUUCUUCGCUUCACACAGUGUGUGUAUCUUUUGCUUUGACACCUGGGGUCCUGCUCAGUGGUACCGUGUCUAUGAUACCUCACUCCACCGAGAGGUAAAUAGACAGAGAGCUUCAGUUUGAGAGAGAAAUAGCGUGAGAGAAGGAGAGAGAGCUGCAGGCUGCGUUAUAUCUAUCUAGGGAUAGAGAGAGAGUUUGAGACUGAAGAAGAGGGAGACGGGAAGAAGUUGAUGGUCGAUUGGAACAGAAAUUGAGUGAACUGAUCAUCCCAGCAAAAGUAAGAGAAGAGUUGGGUCUCUGUUCUUGGUAGGAUUUGGAUGUUCUUCGGUUAUACGGUGGCUGCCUUGAUUUCAUGGAUUUGUUUUGUGAUUUUUGAUUAGAUUAGUAGGACUGAAAUUGGAGAGGAGGAAGGGAGAAUUUAUCAAGGCCAAGAAAGGUAUUGCUUCUUCUUGCUCUGGGUGGUUGUUUGUGAAUUUUGCAGAAUGGAAUAGCAGAGAAGAAUUGGUGGGUCAUCUAAUUUGGUUAGUUUUGAUUAACAGUAUCUAUGUUAUUCUGCAGAGGAUUCAGUCUCAGCAUAGUUGAGAUUGAGAGCUACAAGUCUAAGUGUCAAUUUCAAGCUUUAUCCAUUUUUUCUGGGAAUUUACAAUGUUGCCAUGUACCCUAAAUAUAUAAUCUAAAGAACCAACGCCUACUUUCGGGAAGCAUCGGUGAAGACCGACCUCAGCUGCUGCGCUGUUGCAACCUCUCUGACGUCGACAUGAAUCCAAACAGUUUUUGUUAAAUGCAAGAUGUGUAUGGCUGUUUGAAGUCGAUUGUACCACCACAUGAGACAACUGUCAAGGAUAAAGAGUCAAAAUGUGAAAUCCAUUUGCAGAAUUUAAGGUAAACUUUUUACACACUAUUAAACAUUAAGUACAGUAUAUGAUCCAAUUGAGAUUUAAAACUAACUUCCUAAACAUAAACUUGAGAAUUACACUCUGGGGCAACACUGCUAGACAAGUCGACAUGGAAACAAUUAGAAAAGCUUCUCCACCAGUGCUGAUGGCAUUAACCAGUUUAAAAAUCAAAGAGUACUUGAACAAACCUGCCCCAUCAAAUACAAGCAACACCUGUAUUUUCAUCAAUCCAAAGAUCCCAGAGACAAACAAGUACAGGCUUCAGUUCUCAAAACUGGUUGAUAGAGUGCAAAUACUUCCAACACCAUUCAAACAGCCAACAUCAGAAGAAAUCCAGGAAACCAAUAUGAAAACAGUGACUGGAUUGAACAUAUUGGAUCCAUUGUCAUACAAGUAACAAAUGGUGUAUUGCAAUGCUUCAAUUUCCAGAUUUGCAACACACGACGGUUGGUGGUAUAAAGGAUGUCCUCACUGUUAUUGAGAAUUAAAAGAACAAGAACAUGACAAUCAACUCGGCUGCUCACUUCAUGGGAAGCAAGAAAUUCUUCCUUGUUUCAGAAUCUACAUGACUAUCACAGAUGGACAAAAUGAGGCAACGGUUAUCAUAAUGGGAAAACCAGCAGAGCAACUGUUUGGAAGUAGUUGCAAAGAUUUGGUCAGCAAAAGAUCAUACCCAACAGAAUCAACACUACCAGAGGAGAUAGAAAAAACAAGAGGCCAAAAGUUCCUUUUUCAGCUCAAGAUAAAGGAAGAUAGUGAGCUAUAAUCAAAGCAGUCUUCCCACAUAUGGAGUCCUCUGUACCACCUUUUGAAAACGACCCAGCAACUAUGACACCAGAUCCUGUUCCUUUUCAAAGAAAGAGAGUUGCUGAGACAAGUAAAAGAGGAUUAUUCAUAUCUGAACCAGACAAGAAACCUAGAAGGCAAAGAUAAGCAGAGGAAGAUGAAACCACAUCAUCGUCAUCAGCUGAAAACAAAAAGACUGUUUAAUCCAGGAUAACUGUGGUGUACAGUUUUUUGAUGAAAGUAAUCGAUUUUGUGUAGCUGCAAUGACAAGUACAGUUGGAACCACAACUGUUUUUGAACGCUCCACAAUGUUACAAAAUUGCAGCAACGAUCUUUUUGUAAAGCUGCAACUAUAAUAGCUAAUCUGACUAUGCAGCUAGCUUUUUUGUAAAGCUGCAGCUGAAAUGCCUAACAUUAUUGUGCAGCAAGCAAUUUUUGGAUGACUUUUGGUGUAACAAAUGUAGAGUGUACAUGUACUCUUUUAUCAAAUGAAUAUAAUGUAACAAUUCUCCCUCUA